CAAAGACCAUUCAACCUGACAAACAUGCAAACUCAUCUUUUCUGCAUUACACUACAUCUCUUUUGUUAUUUUCUAUAUUUUCUGAACUUUUAAUUCCCAUAUUGUUCUUUACAUAAUUUAUGAUUGUGAAUGCCAAUUCUGUGAGCUUUCAAUUCUAAGGGGAUUAAUAAGAUAACAAAAAUAUGGCAAUGUAUUCAAUAAAACACAAAUCUUUUCCAUGAAUGUAUCUGGAUAAUUACUUGUUCAAUUACAUUUUUCAUGGUUUGUGCAUCAUAAUGCGCACUGAGUCAGAGACCUUAGGUGGAAUUUCAGAUUAGUUGUUGUUUAUUGCAUCUGCAUGAGCGAAUUGAUGUUGUUGAGGGUCAGAGAGUCACAAGUUAUUAAGUGUCAUUAGAUAUGAAAGAGAUAUCUAUCCAAAAAAAAAGCUCAUUCCUGUAAUUUACUGGUACCUUCAGUAUUGUGUCUAUCACACGUAAAAUUCAUGUGAUUAUGAAUCAGGGACACGUGGAUCUAGAUAAGUAGGACUUGGCCACAUGUAAAUGAUGUAUACUUCGUAUUUGAUUUCCGUAACUGAACCUGCUUGUGUUCUGAGAUUAAUGGGAAUGAAUUAUUGCCUCCCUGUUUUGCAUCAAUGCAUCCAUUUUUAUUAGGCUGAAUCAGGAUUUCUGCAGCAUGAUAUUUGUUUUGUUAGUGAUGUCUGGUAACUGAUGCAUUACAGGUAAGGUUUUUUUUCUUUGAUGUCUUUGUAUUCUUUUUUGUCUGGAGACUAAAAUGAAGUUAUUAAUGGUCUUUGGCAAUACCAUAAGUUCUAGUAUAUUUCAAAAAUUGUGGGGGAAGGCUUUUUUAUCAGUGUACCUUGCUAAAAAAUUAAAUAAGAUUAAAAUUUUAGAGUCAUUGAGAGGGAUGGGGCUUUGUCUAUAAUGGAUCUUUUAAUAGUGGGAACCCAACAUCUGUGAUAGAAGAUUUCUCGAAAAAGGUUCAAUGUGAUAAUAACAAGCUAAUUAGUUGGUUAGGAAGUACAAGUGAUUUAUCUAAUAUAAGAGUCAUAGACUCCAUCAUAUCCCUAUAGUGAUUAGUGCUCUUAUGUAGUGGUUAGAAAGAGUUUAUCUCUGAAUGAGAUUCGAGAUGGUAUUUUUCAUGAGAUGUGACUCUAUACACAUCCUUAGAGGGACUUACCUAUAUGAGAAUAUCCGUACAUAACUGCAAAUAUGAGAUUUGGGCUAUUUCUAGCAACUCAUGAAAAAUCAAAACAUAUGUGCAGAGCCAUUAAUGUAUAGACUAGCGAUGAAGAAACUCUGUACUAUAUAUGUAGUAGUUGAAGUCUAGAUUAAAGAAACAUAGUUCAAGAUCUGGUUCGCUUCAAUUCUUUUAGAUUGGAACUACUCAAACUAAGUAAGGUUAAAUUACCUUACCCAUUGUAUAGUAUAAGUACCCAGAAAUUUGUGUUAUUUUAUUUUAUAAUUUUUUAAAAAAUUUUAAAUUUUGUGG
rnacentral:lncRNA from 1 species